AUGAACGCUGGCGGCGUGGAUUAGGCAUGCAAGUCGAACGGUCGUCGCAAGACGACAGUGGCGAACGAGGUAGUAACACGUGGGUAUCUCCCCUCAAGUUUGGUAUAGCUUUUCGAAAGAGAAGGUAAUCCCAAAUAGUCUCGCAAGAGUAAAGUCGCAAGACGCUUGAGGAAGAGCCCGCGGCCUAUCAGCUAGUUGGUGAGGUAAUGGCUCACCAAGGCUAUGACGGGUAGGGGAGCUGAGAGGCUGACCCCCACCGGUGGAACUGAGAAACGGUCCACACACCUACGGGUGGCUGCAGUCAAGAACCUUCGGCAAUGGGCGAAAGCCUGACCGAGCGACGCCGCGUGGUUGAUGAAGUCCUUCGGGACGUAAAAACCUUUUAUGAUUAAGAAAGUUUAUUGAUCUGAUCAUGAAUAAGGGGCUACUAACUCUGU
rnacentral:rRNA from 1 species